CCUACGGGAGGCUGCAGUGAGGAAUAUUGGUCAAUGGGCGCGAGCCUGAACCAGCCAAGUCGCGUGAGGGAGGACGGCCCUACGGGUUGUAAACCUCUUUUGCCGGGGAGCAACGGGCGUCACGUGUGGCGCCACUGAGAGUACCCGGAGAAAAAGCAUCGGCUAAUUCCGUGCCAGCAGCCGCGGUAAUACGGAGGGUCCGGGCGUUAUCCGGAUUUAUUGGGUUUAAAGGGAGCGUAGGCCGCAUGUCAAGCGUGCUGUGAAAUGUCCGGGCUCAACCCGGGCCUUGCAGCGGGAACUGGCGGGCUUGAGUGCGCGGGAAGCAGGCGGAAUUCGGGGUGUAGCGGUGAAAUGCGUAGAUAUGACGAAGAACCCCGAUUGCGAAGGCAGCUUGCUGGAGCGGAACUGACGCUGAUGCUCGAAAGCGUGGGUAUCGAACAGGAUUAGAUACCCCAGUAGUC
rnacentral:rRNA from 1 species